rnacentral:lncRNA from 1 species
GUUUGGACCUCCGGAAGCUGCAGGUGUGACUGCAUGAGACCGGAAGCUGCAGGUGUGACUGCAUGAGACCGGAAGCUGCAGGUGUGACUGCAUGAGACCGGAAGCUGCAGGUGUGACUGCAUGAGACCGGAAGCUGCAGGUGUGACUGCAUGAGACCGGAAGCUGCAGGUGUGACUGCAUGAGACCGGAAGCUGCAGGUGUGACUGCAUGAGACCGGAAGCUGCAGGUGUGACUGCAUGAGACCGGAAGCUGCAGGUGUGACUGCAUGAGACCGUUCUGCCACCAGGAUGUGGUUAGUGGGGGGGGGGGGUUGGGGAGUGGGAGGGCACUGGGAAGCUUUUCAGCCAGAAGUUAGCCGAAACUAGAAUAAAAUGGAGUCACUUUGAGCAGCUCACAUCAACAAGUAGAAGAGAAACAACUAAAAGACCUCUGACCUCCACACAGGCUCCAAGAAAUGUGUGCAAGUGCACGCACACACACACAUACACACACCACACACACACACACACACACACACACACUAUAUAUAUAUAUGUAUAUAUAUAUAUAUGUAUAUGUAUAUAUAUAUGUAUAUAUAAUCACAUAUACAUACACACAAACACAUGCACACACACCACACACACAUACAUACCACACACAUACAUAUACACACAAACACAUAUGUGCACAUCAUACCUACACAUGCACCACACACACAAACACAUAUGCACACACAUAUACACACAUACACAUAGACACACAUAUGAAAAUUGCUUUUAUAGUCAGCAAAGAGAGAACAGACAGGAAAUAGGACUCUGCUAUCUAGUAAAGAACAAUGGCCGACCUGCCUCAAGUCAUGGUUCCGAACGGUUCCAUAACCAUCUGGACCAGUGCCACCACUAGAGGAACAGAGUUCAAACACAUGAGCCCACGGCGAAGACAGCACCCAGGCUCAAGGGAGGUGUCUCCCUGUCUCCAGCCUCAAUGCAUAUGAAGAACCAGCCCUCCUUGUUUGAUAGCAGUCGGAUCAGAGGAGCUUUGGAGAUACCUAGCUACACCCUCUACCUGUAUGUAUAAGGCCAGACUUAGUCAAGAACACAAUCACAGUUGAUGCUAACCCAGGAUUCAGCACAUACCUAGAAUUUCCCUAGUAACACACACGCUUUGUUUAAUCCUCCACAAAAUUUAUUCUUUAAGAGGUAAACUUAGGGCUGGAGAGAUGGCACUGGCUGCUCUUCCAAAAGUCCUGAGUUCAAUUCCCAGCAACCACAUGGUGGCUCACUACCAUCUAUAAUGAGAUCCAAUGCCCUCUUCUGGUGUUACUCAUUUAUAUAAUAAAUAAAUUAAUUUUUAAAAAAAGAGGUAAACUUAGAUACAGGACACCUGUAUCUGUAUCUAGAUACAAGAAACCUGACAAGAACCAAUGAGCUCAUUAGCCAAAGCCCAGAGUAGCAACUUUGCUUCAGAGUCCAAGUGGCAUUUUGAAUUGUGCCUAAACCUCCAGAUUGGGAUUCUGAGUCCAAUUCUCAUGUCAAUAAAGAAAGCUGAAGAUAAUAUGGCGCUUCAAAGUCACAUGACUGCUAGGUUGGAAAGAGAUAAGAUCAAAGAGUCAUUCCAUACAUAGUAACGCUGUAGUAAAUACAAUUUCUAGCUCACAGUAAAUGUCUCUACUUUAUCAUCACUAAUUAGCCCCCCUUCUCUUUUUCCCUUCGGAACCUUAGUCUUUGUUUUUAAGAUCUAUUCUUUUGUUUUAAUUAUGUGUCUGUGCUGGGGGACUAAAGUUGGGUAUGGGUGGCUGUGAGCCACUCAGCAUGGCUGCUGGGAGCU